UACAGAGGGUGCAAGCGUUGUUCGGAAUUAUUGGGCGUAAAGCGCGUGUAGGCGGCUUUGCAAGUCGGGUGUGAAAGCCCUCAGCUCAACUGAGGAAGUGCGCCCGAAACUGCAGAGCUUGAGUGCCGGAGAGGGUGGCGGAAUUCCCCAAGUAGAGGUGAAAUUCGUAGAUAUGGGGAGGAACACCGGUGGCGAAGGCGGCUCACUGGACUGGUACUGACGCUGAUGCGCGAAAGCGUGGGGAGCAAACGGG
rnacentral:rRNA from 1 species